AUGCAUAUAACGGCACGUACAAUUCCUUUCCUAAUGAUUCUUCUUUUAUUCUUAAUUAGCAAACGUCGAAGAUGGAGAUCCAAAGGACAUCGCAAGAUCGCAUCCAGGAGGGCGAGGAGACGCGCCAGCAUCGGCCGCGUCGAGAGGCGCCCAGCAGAGACGCACACGGAGAGAUUGAAGAAGGGAAGAGGCAGCGCCUACACGCGCCGACGAAGGCCGCGGGCAUCGCGCGUACAUCGUAGCUGGGGACAGACGCGGACGACGCGCCGGCAUCUGCACAGCGCCGUACUGCAGCAACCACAGACAUCCUCCGGCGAAUAUACAGCGCCACACGCUACAUCAGCAAUCACACACAAGCAUUCUUCUUUGUCAACGACAUGCCUAUAUAGCUAA
rnacentral:rRNA from 1 species